AAUGAAGAGUUCCACAGGGUUGUGGCCCUCCCUCUCAAGUCCAAGUUUUUUGAACAACUUGACCACUACUCCAGCAGACUGUUGGCAUUGGCAAGAUCCAAGAGAGGAACUGCAGGGGACAAAAUCUCUCCCAUCCUACACACGUUUGAUCGGGCCAAAGACAUCAAUCUGAAGAGAGAAUGUCUCCUAAAGGCCCUUAUCAUUGUUCUUGGGGAGGAUACUCGUGAUCUUGUCAAGGAGUUUGUGGACAGUCGGGAAGACGACCUUCAGGUUGAUUUGGAGCAGGUGACCAUGGCGGUAUUUUCCAUUCGACAAGAAGGAUGUGUCGAACUUCCUCCGGAGGACAUUGGUAUCGUUAUCGAAGGCGUAACAGUCUUAAAUGGACUCAGCUCUGUCCCAUCUGCUUGUGCCCUGCUGCUCGGCUUGAUCUACAUUCUCAAUCUUGCCUACCCUAAAAGCCUCCGUUACACUUUCGAGGUUUUCCAGAAAGUUUUUAUGGAGCUAGAUUCUCAGAAAAUGUCCCCAAAAGUUCAUACACUAUUAGGAAAACUGCAAAGUGCAGAUUAAUGGUCAUCUUAAGCCUAUGUACAUAUUUUUGCAUUCAGUGUUAAAAAUGUUUUAUAAAGUUGACAGUGUUUAAAAAGUUUGAGA